UAUUCGGUCUUGAACAAAUGAGCGCAUCAAGUAGAUAGAAGACAGGGAUAUAAAGGUAAGUAGGGGCACUUGCAAGCCCAUUUCUUGCACGAACUCGUUCAUCUGUUUUCCAUCAGGAAGCACGGGAUUGCAACAGCCACAUUUGGUGAGCAGGCAGGAACACAGGUGACACUUGGCUAAAGCUGUCUCAGUAGCACUCAGCCACAUGUGUUUCCCUGGAAGCCCUGGAGAAGGUGACGG